rnacentral:rRNA from 1 species
UACGGGGGGGGCAAGCGUUGUUCGGAAUUACUGGGCGUAAAGGGCUCGUAGGCGGCCAACUAAGUCAGACGUGAAAUCCCUCGGCUUAACCGGGGAACUGCGUCUGAUACUGGAUGGCUUGAAUCCGGGAGAGGGAUGCGGAAUUCCAGGUGUAGCGGUGAAAUGCGUAGAUAUCAGGAGGAACACCGGUGGCGAAGGCGGGUCUCUGGGCCGAUACUGACGCUGAGGAGCGAAAGCGUGGGGAGCAAACAGG